UAUAUAUAUAUAUAUAUAUAUAUAUAUAUUAUAUAUAUAUAUAUAUACAUAUAAAUUUUAUAAAAAAGAAAUAUCAAUGGAAAAUUUUUUGCGACUAAAAUCAAAAUGAAGUACCAUUAUUUGUUAUUGUGUAAAUAUAUCUGUUUUGUUGUUAUUCGUGUAAUAUGUGUAUAAUGAUAGUUAAGAGUACUUUUCUGUCAAAAGAGUAUUAAAAAUAUUAAUGUAAUAAACUGAAAGAUUCUUAUUUAUCUUUCCAUAAUUUAAUAAGAACAAAAUCUUAAAUUGUAAGGAUUCUUUAACAAAAUAGUUUUUAACAUUUCAAAUCAAUUUUGUUUUUUAUAUAUAUAUAUAUAUGUUAAAUAUUAUUAAAUAUUGAUAGAAAUGAUACAAAUAAUGAUACGACGAUGAGAUACAAAUUGUUGUAUUUUGAAUAAUUAAUCAAGGGCUUAAGGUUUAAAACUAAAUAUUGUGACUAUGAUAAAAGAAAUUGCAUAGUUUGGUUCAAUAUAAUUUAUACAUUGCAGAAAAGAAAUUGAUUCAGGAAAUUUCCUCAUAUUUGUUUAAUUUUCAAUAAUGUUCCAAUUUUAUCAAAUUUUGUAACUUUUACGUUAGGUGAAAUUUUUGUACUUUGAUGUUGACCUUAGCAGAGAAAUAAACUCUAUGAUAUUUCAAUAGAAAGGAUUUAAAUAUGGGAAUAUUUAUGACACGAAUAUUGAUAAUAGUAACUACUAAUAAUAAUUUGUAAAUAUGUAUGUAUGAUAGCUGAAAUAUGUAAGUUUGUUUUAUUGUCAAAGCAUACAUUUUGUUUUUGAAAAUAGUUAACAAUAAUCAGUAGAUAAAACAUUCUUCUGACUUAUGAUAUAGUAUUUUUGUGAUUUAGUUUGUAAAUUUUCUUUCUUUGCUCUAUCUUGUAAUGUUUUAGAAGUUAGAUUGAAUCUUUAUAAUUUGAUGUUUCGGUAUCGCACGGUAUCGAAACAUAAUGAAAUACCAGAAAUUUAUAAUAACAUUUAGUUUCAAUUAGCAAGAUAGUGAAUAACACAUACUUCUAUAUUGUUGUAAGCAAUGUGAUUAUCGACAUAUAUAAAUGUUUAUAUUUGUUAUUAAAAAUUUGGGAAAAGAAAAUCCACAUAUUUUAAGAGCGCAGAAUUUUAUUUUUUAUUGCUUGUAUUGUAAGAUUAUCUAAAAAGCUGUUUAACAUGAUAAAAAUUGAAUAUAGAAAUUAAGAGUAUAAUUGCAACAAAUUUACUUGACUGCAAGGAAUUGUAUACAGUAGAUUUAAAAUAUGUAAUUUGUUAAUGUAGCAUGCAGAUCAAGUUGACAAAAAAGCUAAAAUUUGUAAUUCGCAAUAGAAAGUGAUGUAAAUAAAUAAAAAAAAUAUUGUGUGGGUAACGUUUUUGUGUUCAUAUUUUUAUCACGUUUAAAAGAGAAUGAACGUUAGCAUAUAUAAGAACCUAUCAAAGUAGGGAUCUACUCCGUUCGGUUGCUAUUUAACAUAUAUAAGAACCUAUGCAUUUAAGUUUAAAGUUAUAAAUCUGCUCUGUUUGUUUGCACACUAGCAUAGACAGAAACCUAUUGAGUUCCAUUCUACAAGAACCUAUUUAAUUGUACGGUCGUACGGAAAAGUUUAUAUCUACUUUCCUAUCCAAGGUAGACAAGUAUGAGAAUGGCAAAAUCGCGCAAUAAUGAAAGUAAUUGUAAGUUGCCUAAGAAAGAGAAAUUAAUUGUUUAUUACAUUUUUUUUAGAGAAGAAAAGAGAACAUUCCUUUUCAAACGAUAAUGGAUCAGUGGAAUGAGGCAAUAAUCUUAAUAUAUUUUUUAUACACGAUAAUGUUUUAGAUUUAAUAUUAAUUCUUGGCACUUGGCAUGUUAAUUGUACUGGCAUGAAUAUUUUUUCAUCGUCGGGAUGUAACCACAUAUUCUUUUUCCUCAGUACGUACUAAUUCCGAUUCUUGCUGACCGCGGAAACUCUCAUAUUCGUAAGGAGCAUUCGAAGGAAAGCUUUCCGUUAAAGUUGAGGAAAAUUCGCACCUGAAAAGACAUCAAGAAUUAAAAGAAAAAACGAAGAGCAGUUAGAAUUUUUUCGAAGGCAGAAAUUUACAUUUGAAUAAUACAAGUGUCUCACUCAAACGUUUUGGAUGGUUUCCCUUUAUAGGAUGGUUUCCCUUUAUAGGAUGGUUUAUUGGUAUAGAGAUACACAUACAUAUUAAGUAUAUGUAAUAUUUGUAAAUGUAUUGUUUAUUCUCUUUGUUCUAUGUUAAUAAAUUGUUAUAUUCUGA